rnacentral:rRNA from 1 species
GACGAACGCUGGCGGCGUGCCUAAUACAUGCAAGUAGAACGCUGAAGGAGGAGCUUGCUUCUCUGGAUGAGUUGCGAACGGGUGAGUAACGCGUAGGUAACCUGCCUGGUAGUGGGGGAUAACUAUUGGAAACGAUAGCUAAUACCGCAUAAUAGCAGUUGUUGCAUGAUAACUGUUUGAAAGGUGCAAUUGCACCGCUACCAGAUGGACCUGCGUUGUAUUAGCUAGUUGGUGGGGUAACGGCUCACCAAGGCGACGAUACAUAGCCGGCCUGAGAGGGUGAUCGGCCACACUGGGACUGAGACACGGCCCAGACUCCUACGGGAGGCAGCAGUAGGGAAUCUUCGGCAAUGGACGGAAGGCUGACCGAGCAACGCCGCGUGAGGGAAGAAGGUUUUCGGAUCGUAAAGCUCUGUUGUAAGAGAAGAACGAGUGUGAGAGUGGAAAGUUCACACUGUGACGGUAUCUUACCAGAAAGGGACGGCUAACUACGUG